CCUGCCACUCCAUGAGUCAUGAAGGCACGUCCGCUCUCAUUCACAGCAAACAAUAGCUGCCUGUUCAAUUUAGAGCCAUCGAUUCCAUUCUUAGGUUUUAGCCUGAAGCAAACUAAGGCAAACCUCCUUGGCACCACUAUCUCGAACCUUUUGUCAUUUCCCACCAGUGACUCAAACCACUUUGCCAACUUAACAUCGCUGCGUAUGUGGUACAUAAGGUUACUCAAUCCAUGUCUACGGAUCACAACCCAAAGUUUCAAGGCCCUGAAUCGCUUGCUCAAUGCAAUUUGCCAGUCUUUGUAGUCCACUACGUUAUUUGAUUCGGUAGCAGCAUUCCUCAAGUAUUCUGCAUCACUAGUUAAUGAAUCGAUUAAUGAAUGGGGCUGCUUAACCCACAAACAACAACAAUCCAUGUUAGUAAGUAACCAUUUAUGUGGGUUCAUGCUAAUUGAAUCUGCAAGUUCUACACC
rnacentral:misc_RNA from 1 species